rnacentral:rRNA from 1 species
ACGGGGCCAGCAGGCGCGAAAACUUUACAAUGCGGGAAACCGCGAUAAGGGGACACCGAGUGCCAGCAUUUAUGUUGGCUGUCCACAUGUGUAAACGGCAUGUGUUAGCAAGGGCCGGGCAAGACCGGUGCCAGCCGCCGCGGUAACACCGGCGGCCCGAGUGGUAAUCACUUUUAUUGGGUCUAAAGGGUCCGUAGCCGGUUUGAUCAGUUCUUCGGGAAAUCUGACAGCUCAACUGUUAGGCUUCCGGGGAAUACUGUCAGACUUGGGACCGGGAGAGGUAAGAGGUACUACAGGGGUAGGAGUGAAAUCUUGUAAUCCCUGUGGGACCACCAGUGGCGAAGGCGUCUUACCAGAACGGGUCCGACGGUGAGGGACGAAAGCUGGGGGCACGAACCGGAUUAGAUACCCGGGUAGUCCCAGCCGUAAACGAUGUUCGCUAGGUGUCAGGGGCGGUGCGACCGCUUCUGGGUGCCGUAGGGAAGCCGUGAAGCGAACCACCUGGGAAAGUACGGCCGCA